rnacentral:rRNA from 1 species
AUUGAACGCUGGCGGCAGGCUUAACACAUGCAAGUCGAGCGGGGUGAUGGUGCUUGCACUAUCACUUAGCGGCGGACGGGUGAGUAAUGCUUAGGAAUCUGCCUAUUAGUGGGGGACAACAUCUCGAAAGGGAUGCUAAUACCGCAUACGUCCUACGGGAGAAAGCAGGGGAUCACUUGUGACCUUGCGCUAAUAGAUGAGCCUAGGCCGGAUUAGCUAGUUGGUGGGGUAAAGGCCUACCAAGGCGACGAUCUGUAGCGGGUCUGAGAGGAUGAUCCGCCACACUGGGACGGAGACACGGCCCAGACUCCUACGGGAGGCAGCAGUGGAGAAUAUUGGACAAUGGGGGGAACCCUGAUCCAGCCAUGCCGCGUGUGUGAAGAAGGCCUUAUGGUUGUAAAGCACUUUAAGCGAGGAGGAGGCUCUUUUGGUUAAUACCCAAGAUGAGUGGACGUUACUCGCAGAAUAAGCACCGGCUAACUCUGUGCCAGCCGCCGCGGUAACAC